rnacentral:lncRNA from 1 species
AAGAAAAAGAACACAGCAUUGCUGGGAAACUCUCAGAUCGGAUGUCAUCAGGGUAGACGUCAGCACAGUGCUUCUAAGUGCAAUCACCCAGGGAGAAGGUGCUGAGGGGAAAGAUGUCAGGAGCGGCACCUAAGAGCUCUUGGAGGAGAGACAGGAGCUGUAAGGUCAGGAGAACAGGAGGGGCCCAUGCUCAGGGAAGCUGUGGGUAACAACAGUGGGCAACUCUCCACUAACUCACCAAGGAGAGAAAGGAACAUCUGGACUUGUAGAAAUCUUAGUGGCAGGGUUGGAUUGAUAGCUCAGCAGUUAAGAGCAUUGGCUGCACUUCCAGAGGUCCUAAGUUCAAUUCCCAGCAACUGCAUGGUGACUCACAACCAUCUGUAACUCGGGAUCCAAUGCUUUCUUCUGGCAUUCAGGUGUACAAGCAAUUAGAGCACUCAUAUACAUAAGAUGAAUACAUCUUUAAAGAAAGAAAAAGAAAGCUCGGUUUCAGUGGUCGGAUGAGUGCACGGAAGUUAGAGGCUGGGGUGGGUGGAACCUUCAGGGAGAACACCUGGAGGAAGUACUGUCCUGUGACUGCAGGUCGUACCAGAGCACACACGCU